GGUACCACACACUGGGUUGACAUCUUAAUCAAGUUAUCCACUUACAGCAAUAAGAUUUCAUUCCAGGGAAUGACUUGUUUAUCCUAUGGAUACAGCAGAAGAGCAUUGUUGGCAGGUGAUGGAAUAUAUCACACUGGAGAAUGAGCAGAUUCAUUCAUGGAGGAACCAUAUGAUGAAGAACCAGAAAUUUUAGAAUGUGAAAUGAAAGCUGCUCUUAAAAUUCUUGGAAGAAACAAAUCACCAGGAAUAGACGGCAUACCAAUAGAGUUGCUACAUGCUACCGAGACUGAAUCUGUCCAAAUUUUGACAAAAAUUUGUCAAUAAAUAUGGAAAACUAAACAAUGGGUAAACACAGACUGGAAGCGUUCAAUAUAUAUCCCACUUCCAAAGAAAGCAGAUCCCAGAGAAUGCAGUAAUUACUGAACUAUUGCCUUAAUAUCCCAUGCAAGUAAAGUAAUGCUCAAAAUUCUACAACAAAGGCUCUUACCAUAUAUGGAGCAAGAAAUGCCAGACGUCCAAGCUGGAUUUAGAAAGGGAAGAGGCACCAGAGAUCAUAUCGCAAACAUACAUUGGAUAAUGGAACGGAGCAAGGAAUUUCAGAAGAAAAUCACCCUGUGCUUUAUAGAUUACAGAAAAGCCUUUGACUGUGUAGAUCAUGAAAAACUAUGGAAUGCUUUAAAAGAAAGGGGGGUGCCACAGCAUCUGAUUGUCCUGAUGCGCAACCUAUACUCUGGACAAGAGACUAUUGUAAGGACAGAAUAUGGAGAAACCGAUUGGUUCCCCAUCGGAAAGGGUGUGAGACAGGGUUGUAUGUUAUCCUCCUAUUUGUUUAAUCUGUACGCAGAACAUAUCAUAUGGAAAGCGGGAUUGGACCAAGAUGAAGGAGGUGUGAAAA